UACGGAGGGGGCUAGCGUUGUUCGGAAUUACUGGGCGUAAAGCGCACGUAGGCGGCUUUGUAAGUUAGAGGUGAAAGCCCAGGGCUCAACCCUGGAAUUGCCUUUAAGACUGCAUCGCUUGAACAUCGGAGAGGUGAGUGGAAUUCCGAGUGUAGAGGUGAAAUUCGUAGAUAUUCGGAAGAACACCAGUGGCGAAGGCGACUCACUGGACGAUUGUUGACGCUGAGGUGCGAAAGCGUGGGGAGCAAACAGG
rnacentral:rRNA from 1 species